GAUGAACGCUGGCGGCGUGCCUAACACAUGCAAGUCGAACGGAGAUUCCGGACGGACGUUUUCGGAUGGAAGCCUGUAAUUCUUAGUGGCGGACGGGUGAGUAACGCGUGGGCAACCUGCCCUAUACAGGGGGAUAGCAGCUGGAAACGGCUGGUAAGACCGCAUAAGUCGGUUAAAUCGCAUGAUUUGAUCGGGAAAUGAGCAAUCAGGUAUAGGAUGGGCCCGCGUCCGAUUAGCCAGUUGGCAGGGUAAAAGCCUACCAAAGCGACGAUCGGUAGCCGGACUGAGAGGUCGGACGGCCACAUUGGGACUGAGACACGGCCCAAACUCCUACGGGAGGCAGCAGUGGGGGAUAUUGCACAAUGGAGGAAACUCUGAUGCAGCGACGCCGCGUGAGUGAAGAAGUAUUUCGGUAUGUAAAGCUCUAUCAGCAGGGAAGAUGAUGACGGUACCUGACGAAGAAGCCCCGGCUAACUACGUG
rnacentral:rRNA from 1 species